UGGGGAAUAUUGCACAAUGGGCGCAAGCCUGAUGCAGCCAUGCCGCGUGUGUGAAGAAGGCCUUCGGGUUGUAAAGCACUUUCAGCGAGGAGGAAGGUGGUGAACUUAAUACGUUCAUCAAUUGACGUUACUCGCAGAAGAAGCACCGGCUAACUCCGUGCCAGCAGCCGCGGUAAUACGGAGGGUGCAAGCGUUAAUCGGAAUUACUGGGCGUAAAGCGCACGCAGGCGGUUUGUUAAGUCAGAUGUGAAAUCCCCGGGCUCAACCUGGGAACUGCAUUUGAAACUGGCAAGCUAGAGUCUCGUAGAGGGGGGUAGAAUUCCAGGUGUAGCGGUGAAAUGCGUAGAGAUCUGGAGGAAUACCGGUGGCGAAGGCGGCCCCCUGGACGAAGACUGACGCUCAGGUGCGAAAAGCGUGGGGAGCAAACAGGAUUAGAUACCCCUGGUAGUCCACGCUGUAAAACGAUGUCGAUUUUGGAGGUUGUGCCCUUGAGGCGUGGCUUCCGGAGCUAACGCGUUAAAUCGACCGCCUGGGGAGUACGGCCGCAAGGUUAAAACUU
rnacentral:rRNA from 1 species